rnacentral:rRNA from 1 species
UCAGUCGACUCCUACGGGGAGGCAGCAGUGGGGAAUAUUGCACAAUGGGGGAAACCCUGAUGCAGCCAUGCCGCGUGUGUGAAGAAGGCCUUCGGGUUGUAAAGCACUUUCAGUAGGGAGGAAGGUAGUGUAGUUAACACCUGCACUAUUUGACGUUACCUACAGAAGAAGCACCGGCUAACUCCGUGCCAGCAGCCGCGGUAAUACGGAGGGUGCGAGCGUUAAUCGGAAUUACUGGGCGUAAAGCGCAUGCAGGCGGCCUGUUAAGUCAGAUGUGAAAGCCCGGGGCUUAACCUCGGAAUUGCAUUUGAAACUGGCAGGCUAGAGUCUUGUAGAGGGGGGUAGGAAUUUCAGGUGUAGCGGUGAAAUGCGUAGAGAUCUGAAGGAAUACCAGUGGCGAAGGCGACCCCCUGGACAAAGACUGACGCUCAGAUGCGAAAGCGUGGGGAGCAAACAGGAUUAGAUACCCUGGUAG